AGUAGUUUGAUCCGUGGCUCAGGACGAACGCUGGCGGCGUGCCUAACACAUGCAAGUCGAACGAAGCUCCCGAUCGGAUUCUUCGGAUGAAGAGAGGGAAGACUUAGUGGCGGACGGGUGAGUAACGCGUGAGCAACCUGCCUUUCAGAGGGGGAUAACAGUUGGAAACGACUGCUAAUACCGCAUAACAUAUAGAUGUCGCAUGGCAUUUGUAUCAAAGCUGAGGCGCUGAAAGAUGGGCUCGCGUCCGAUUAGAUAGUUGGUGGGGUAACGGCCUACCAAGUCGACGAUCGGUAGCCGGACUGAGAGGUUGAACGGCCACAUUGGGACUGAGACACGGCCCAGACUCC
rnacentral:rRNA from 1 species